rnacentral:rRNA from 1 species
CAGUAGCCGCGGUAAUACGUAGGUGGCAAGCGUUGUCCGGAAUUAUUGGGCGUAAAGGGCUCGCAGGCGGUUUCUUAAGUCUGAUGUGAAAGCCCCCGGCUCAACCGGGGAGGGUCAUUGGAAACUGGGAAACUUGAGUGCAGAAGAGGAGAGUGGAAUUCCACGUGUAGCGGUGAAAUGCGUAGAGAUGUGGAGGAACACCAGUGGCGAAGGCGACCCUCUGGUCUGUAACUGACGCUGAGGAGCGAAAGCGUGGGGAGCGAACAGGAUUAGAGACCCCCGUAGUCCCUGUCUCUUAUAU